GGGCGAAACGAGCAUCAACCAGCAACCUAUAAAACCUGGAAGCUAAGCGCAGUAGCGUCCUUUUCUGUAGCUGGUCGCAGUGAGAAGUUAGCAAGAGUUCACAAUGUUUUACAAGAUUAUCAGUCUAGUUGCUUCACAUGUUGAGUUGCUCGCUAAUCGCAUUUCAUUGGAUGGUCACCUCUUCGGACCAGAUUUUGGAUGAUGGCUGUGUCUCUAGCUUUAGUGCAUUGACCUAAUCGGUGACGUUGAAGCAGGCUGUUCAACCAUCAUGCUUAGAUUCAGCAAAGUAUGCAGUGGGUGAUCUCAGAAGAGCAACUGCCAUUUUUGUUACGUUGAGAUGACGUUUAACGGCAGAAGUGUAUAAUGGCAGGAAACGGGUGAGGCUAUUCUAAUCACCCUGCAUCGCUUGGAUUUUAUCGUCUCAUCAUUCUGAAGACUGAUUUUUGUUUUCAUGUUUUUGUAAUAAAAAAUUACAAAUCCCUAAAUGUGUUUUCAUUCUG